AAGUCGUAACAAGGUUUUUGUAGGUGAACCUGCGGAAGGAUUAUUACCUUUCUGGCUAUUUAAUAGCUUGUCUGGGGGCUGUAGUUUCUGUAGUUUCUGACUACGUCCGUGUUUUUUGCGUACUACAUGUUUCCUCGGCGGGCUUGCUCGCCGGUCGGACAAACUAAAAUCUCUUUGCAAUUGCAAUUAGCGUCUGAAUUAUAUAAUAAUUACAA
rnacentral:misc_RNA from 1 species